AUCAACUUUCGAUGGUAGGAUAGAGGCCUACCAUGGUGGUAACGGGUAACGGGGUGUUAGGGCACGACACCGGAGAGGGAGCCUGAGAAACGGCUACCACAUCCAAGGAUGGCAGCAGGCGCGCAAAUUACCCAAUCCCGACACGGGGAGGUAGUGACAAUAAAUAACAAUACGGGGUUCUUUCGGAUUUCGUAAUUGGAAUGAGUACAAUUUAAAUCUCUUAACGAGGAACAAUUGGAGGGCAAGUCUGGUGCCAGCGGCCGCGGUAAUUCCAGCUCCAAUAGCGUAUAUUAAAGUUGCUGCAGUUAAAAAGCUCGUAGUUGAAUUUCGGGACCAUCAUGUCGGUCGUGCCUCGGUACGUACUGGCAUUGUUGGUUUCUCCCUUCUGACGAACCAUGAUGUCAUUUAUUUGGUGUUGUGGGGAAUCAGGAUUGUUACUUUGAAAAAAUUAGAGUGUUUAAAGCAGGCUCACGCUUGAAUACAUUAGCAUGGAAUAAUGAAAUAGGACGUUUGAUUCUAUUUUGUUGGUUUCUAGGAUCGACGUAAUGAUUAAUAGGGAUAGUUGGGGGCAUUAGUAUUCAAUUGUCAGAGGUGAAAUUCUUGGAUUUAUUGAAGACUAACUACUGCGAAAGCAUUUGCCAAGGAUGUUUUCAUUAAUCAAGAACGAAAGUUAGGGGAUCGAAGACGAUCAGAUACCGUCGUAGUCUUAACCAUAAACUAUGCCGACUAGGGAUCGGAUGAUGUUAAUUUUUUAAUGACUCAUUCGGCGCCUUACGGGAAACCAAAGUGUUUGGGUUC
rnacentral:rRNA from 1 species